rnacentral:rRNA from 1 species
UACGUAGGGUGCAAGCGUUGUCCGGAAUUAUUGGGCGUAAAGAGCUCGUAGGCGGUUUGUCGCGUCUGCUGUGAAAACUCGGGGCUUAACUCCGGAUCUGCGGUGGGUACGGGGCAGACUAGAGUGAUGUAGGGGGAGACUGGAAUUCCUGGUGUAGCGGUGAAAUGCGCAGAUAUCAGGAGGAACACCGAUGGCGAAGGCAGGUCUCUGGGCAUUAACUGACGCUGAGGAGCGAAAGCAUGGGGAGCGAACAGG